CUGUGGAGAUACUGCAGAGCAAACUGAACCACAGAGUGAGUGAGCUCAGAGUUGAAGUCUUGUUUGAGCUAAACUGAUGCUCUCCAGGCACCCAAGAACUUCACAGGGAGAAAAUUGGUAGGUACUCGGUCUGUGGAGCAGAAAGGAAUGUACCCUGACAAGGUGUUUUUCUCCUAUCUCAUCAUGGUUCACAACUGUCUGCUGGAGCUUUGAAACUUGCAGACAGAUCUCUGCUUCAUGUCUUCAGAUCGGAAUAGAAGCCAGUAAGUAACUUGCAUCACCCUCCACCACCACCUCCACGGAUGCCCACUUCUUUCCUGCCCCCCAGCAAAGAGGCUAUACAUGGCCAUCUGUUGAAAUCCUGUCAGUUUCCCUUGGAUGAGCUGAGGUCGCUGGCUGUCCAUUGUCGGAGGGGUCAGUGGGCAAGAUUUACUCCUGCAAAGCCUGAGAUCCAUGUACACUUGUAACCUGGGCUCUGAGCUCCGUGGCUACCUAUUUACUGCUCUGCUCAGCUGUGUGCACACUGGAGCGGCUCUGAGGCUCCUCGCUGGCCUUCAAUAAGGACACUGUGUGCUGUGAAGCAGCUGCGCAAGGCUUCACAAAUGCUGGCUGACAAGAAGUGACAGCCCAGUAUAUCUCUCACUGGCAUUGACAGCUGACAGAUGGAUACCACUCACACACAGAAGAAAAGCCCCCGGGACGAUUCGCCAGCAUUACUCUCUGUUCACAGGGCCACAUGUGAUGGAGUGCUGCUCGGAAUAAUAAACCCGGCGGAGGACUGCAGCGCCGGCUCUCAUACAAUACACAGGACUUGUCCCCACUCUAAAACGUGAACAAAUAUAUACACUGAAGCUC